GAUGAACGCUAGCCACAGGCUUAACACAUGCAAGUCGAGGGGUAACGAGAGGAAGGCUUGCUUUCCUUGUCGACGACCGGCGCACGGGUGAGUAACGCGUAUCCAACCUGCCCCCAACUAGGGAAUAACCUUGCGAAAGUAAGACUAAUACCCUAUAAUUUCCUCAGAUGUCAUCUGACGAGGAAUAAAGAUUUAUCGGUUGUGGAUGGGGAUGCGUCUGAUUAGCUUGUUGGCGGGGUAACGGCCCACCAAGGCAAUGAUCAGUAGGGGUUCUGAGAGGAAGGUCCCCCACAUUGGAACUGAGACACGGUCCAAACUCCUACGGGAGGCAGCAGUGAGGAAUAUUGGUCAAUGGGCGGAAGCCUGAACCAGCCAAGUAGCGUGCAGGAUGACGGCCCUAUGGGUUGUAAACUGCUUUUAUACAGGAAUAAAGUUAGCCACGUGUGGUUAUUUGUAGGUACUGUAUGAAUAAGGACCGGCUAAUUCCGUGCCAGCCGCCGCAGUAA
rnacentral:rRNA from 1 species